rnacentral:ncRNA from 1 species
GAUAACGAAGUAAGCAGGAAAGUCCAGGUGAAGUGAUAGGGCGGUUCGUGAGUAACGUGGUAGUUAUGCUGAUAAACGUAUCAGACAGAGCGAAUGCAGAAUAAGCAUGACCUGGCAAAACAGUUGAAGAAAGCAGGAACAUCAGGGCAAGAAAGCACAGUGUUCAUUACUACCGGCAGAAAAAUGAGCAGUCUGAACCAAUCAGAACUUUUCCCCUCAACCAAGAAGUUGUUAAGCGGAAGAAUCAACGAGCGAGAGGACACAGCACUUCGUUACC